rnacentral:misc_RNA from 1 species
GAAAUGCGAUAACUAAUGUGAAUUGCAGAAUUCAGUGAAUCAUCGAGUCUUUGAACGCACAUUGCGCCCCCUGGUAUUCCGGGGGGCAUGCCUGUCCGAGCGUCAUUGCUGCCCUCAAGCACGGCUUGUGUGUUGGGCUUCCGUCCCUGGCAACGGGGACGGGCCCAAAAGGCAGUGGCGGCACCAUGUCUGGUCCUCGAGCGUAUGGGGCUUUGUCACCCGCUCCCGUAGGUCCAGCUGGCAGCUAGCCUCGCAACCAAUCUUUUUAACCAGGUUGACCUCGGAUCAGGUAGGGAUACCCGCUGAACGUAAGC